UACGAAGGGGGGCUAGCGUCGUUCGGAAUUACUGGGCGUAAAGGGCGCGUAGGCGGUACUUCAAGUCAGGCGUGAAAGCCCCGGGCUCAACCUGGGAACCGCGCUUGAGACUGGAGAACUAGAGUUCGGGAGAGGAUGGUGGAAUUCCCAGUGUAGAGGUGAAAUUCGUAGAUAUUGGGAAGAACACCGGUGGCGAAGGCAGCUCACUGGCUCGUAACUGACGCUCAUGCACGACAGCGUGGGGAUCAAACAGGAUU
rnacentral:rRNA from 1 species